rnacentral:tRNA from 1 species
GGGGAAAACUGGACUGGUGCUCCCCGCGGGCUACAAACCCGCCGGCCUGCCCGCAACCCGGGCGGGAGUCCGGUUCGAUUCCGACUUUUCCCCUCCA